rnacentral:rRNA from 1 species
GACGAACGCUGGCGGCGUGCUUAACACAUGCAAGUCGAACGGAAAGGCCCUGCUUUUGUGGGGUGCUCGAGUGGCGAACGGGUGAGUAACACGUGAGUAACCUGCCCUUGACUUUGGGAUAACUUCAGGAAACUGGGGCUAAUACCGGAUAGGAGCUCCUGCUGCAUGGUGGGGGUUGGAAAGUUUCGGCGGUUGGGGAUGGACUCGCGGCUUAUCAGCUUGUUGGUGGGGUAGUGGCUUACCAAGGCUUUGACGGGUAGCCGGCCUGAGAGGGUGACCGGCCACAUUGGGACUGAGAUACGGCCCAGACUCCUACGGGAGGCAGCAGUGGGGAAUAUUGCACAAUGGGCGGAAGCCUGAUGCAGCAACGCCGCGUGCGGGAUGACGGCCUUCGGGUUGUAAACCGCUUUCGCCUGUGACGAAGCGUGAGUGACGGUAAUGGGUAAAGAAGCACCGGCUAACUACGUGCCAGCAGCCGCGGUGAUACGUAGGGUGCGAGCGUUGUCCGGAUUUAUUGGGCGUAAAGGGCUCGUAGGUGGUUGAUCGCGUCGGAAGUGUAAUCUUGGGGCUUAACCCUGAGCGUGCUUUCGAUACGGGUUGACUUGAGGAAGGUAGGGGAGAAUGGAAUUCCUGGUGGAGCGGUGGAAUGCGCAGAUAUCAGGAGGAACACCAGUGGCGAAGGCGGUUCUCUGGGCCUUUCCUGACGCUGAGGAGCGAAAGCGUGGGGAGCGAACAGGCUUAGAUACCCUGGUAGUCCACGCUGUAAACGGUGGGUACUAGGUGUGGGGUCCAUUCCACGGGUUCCGUGCCGUAGCUAACGCUUUAAGUACCCCGCCUGGGGAGUACGGCCGCAAGGCUAAAACUCAAAGGAAUUGACGGGGCCCCGCACAAGCGGCGGAGCAUGCGGAUUAAUUCGAUGCAACGCGUAGAACCUUACCUGGGUUUGACAUGGAUCGGGAGCGCUCAGAGAUGGGUGUGCCUCUUUUGGGGUCGGUUCACAGGUGGUGCAUGGCUGUCGUCAGCUCGUGUCGUGAAAUGUUGGGUUAAGUCCCGCAACGAGCGCAACCCUUGUUCACUGUUGCCAGCACGUUAUGGUGGGGACUCAGUGGAGACCGCCGGGGUCAACUCGGAGGAAGGUGGGGAUGACGUCAAGUCAUCAUGCCCCUUAUGUCCAGGGCUUCACGCAUGCUACAAUGGCUGGUACAGAGAGUGGCGAGCCUGUGAGGGUGAGCGAAUCUCGGAAAGCCGGUCUCAGUUCGGAUUGGGGUCUGCAACUCGACCUCAUGAAGUCGGAGUCGCUAGUAAUCGCAGAUCAGCAACGCUGCGGUGAAUACGUUCCCGGGCCU